GGCGACCGGGUGAGUAACACGUGACUAACCUGCCUUCGAGUGGGGGAUAACCUCGGGAAACCGGGGCUUGAGUACCGCAUAAUGCCGGGAGGUUAAAGGAGCAAUUCGCUUGAAGAGGGGGUCGCGGCUGAUUAGCUAGUUGGCGGGGUAACGGCCCACCAAGGCGAUGAUCGGUAGCCGGCCUGAGAGGGCGCACGGCCACACUGGAACUGAAACACGGUCCAGACUCCUACGGGAGGCAGCAGUGGGGAAUUUUGCGCAAUGGGGGAAACCCUGACGCAGCAACGCCGCGUGGAGGAUGAAGUCCCUUGGGACGUAAACUCCUUUCGACCGGGACGAUAAUGACGGUACCGGUGGAAGAAGCCCCGGCUAACUUCGUGCCAGCAGCCGCGG
rnacentral:rRNA from 1 species